rnacentral:rRNA from 1 species
AUCUGGUUGAUCCUGCCAGUAGUCAUACGCUCGUCUCAAAGAUUAAGCCAUGCAUGUGUAAGUAUAAAUAAUUUUACUUUGAAACUGCGAAUGGCUCAUUAUAUCAGUUAUAGUUUAUUAGAAAUACUUUACUACUUGGAUAACCGUAGUAAUUCUAGGGCUAAUACAUGACUAAAUCCUCAACUUCGGAAGAGGUGUGUUUAUUAGUAUGAAAACCAUAUAUCUUCGGAUAUAAUAGUGAGUAAUAAUAACCUUUCAUAUCGUAUGUCGUAAGAUAACGAUAGUUCUUUCAAGUUUCUGCCCUAUCAGCUUUCGAUGGUAGUAUAUGGGACUACCAUGGCAGUAACGGGUAACGAAGAAUUUGGGUUCGAUUUCGGAGAGGGAGCCUGAGAGAUGGCUACCACAUCCAAGGAAGGCAGCAGGCGCGUAAAUUACCCAAUCCUGACAUAGGGAGGUAGUGACAAUAAAUCACAAUGCGGAACUAUUUAGUUUUGCAAUUGGAUUGAGAACAAUGUACAAAUGUUAUCGAUAAACAAUUGGAGGGCAAGUCUGGUGCCAGCAGCCGCGGUAAUUCCAGCUCCAAUAGCGUAUAUUAACGUUGUUGCAGUUAAAAAGCUCGUAGUUGAAAUGUGGGAUGAAGUAUAUGAUGAAUUUUAUAUUCAAUUAUAUAUUGAUUCCCCUCUCCAAUUUAUUAUUAUGGGUAUUAAUUUAUUUGUAAUAAGAAUUGGUCAUUUACUGUGAGAAAAUAGAGUGUUCAAAGCAGGCACUUGCUUGAAUAGAUUAGCAUGGAAUAAUACUAAAGGCUUUAUGGUCGAUUUAAUUGGUUGUUCAUAAAGCAAGAUUAAAGGAACAGUUGGGGUAUUCAUAUUCAAUAGUUAGAGGUGAAAUUCUCGGAUUUAUGGAAGAUGAACUAGUGCGAAAGCAUUUACCAAGGAUGUUUCAUUAAUCAAGAACGAAAGCUAGGGAUCGAAGAGGCUUAGAUACCCUCGUAGUCUUAGCUAUAAACUAUACCGACUAGGGGUUAGUAGAAGUCAUUGUGUUUCUAUUAGUACCUUAUGAGAAAUCAAAGUCUUUGGGUUCCGGGGGGAGUAUGGUCGCAAGGCUGAAACUUAAAGGAAUUGACGGAAGGGCACCACCAGGAGUGGAGUGCGGCUUAAUUUGACUCAACACGGGGAAACUUACCAGGCCCAGACAUAGGAAGGAUUGACAGAUUGAUAGCUCUUUCUUGAUUCUAUGGGUGGUGGUGCAUGGCCGUUCUUAGUUGGUGGAGUGAUUUGUCUGGUUAAUUCCGAUAACGAACGAGACCUCCGCCUGCUAAAUAGUAUAUAUUAUUUUUUAUAAUGUAUACUUCUUAGAGGGACACUAUACGUAUGAGUGUAGGGAAGCUGGAGGCAAUAACAGGUCUGUGAUGCCCUUAGAUGUUCUGGGCUGCACGCGCGCGACACUGAUCUAUUCAACAAGUGACUGAAUCGAUAGAUUUGGUAAAUCUUUUGAAAAUAGAUCGUGAUGGGGAUUGAUGCUUGAAAUUUUUCAUCAUGAACGAGGAAUUCCUAGUAAACGCAAGUCAUCAACUUGCAUUGAUUACGUCCCUGCCCUUUGUACACACCGCCCGUCGCACCUACCGAUUGAAUGAUCCGGUGAACACUUUAGAUUUUCUAUUUUUUAAUUGUAACAGAUUAAAGAAUAGAAGAGAAGUCUGUGUAAAUCUUAUCAUUUAGAGGAAGGUGAAGCCGUAACAAGGUUUCCGUAGGUGAACUGCGGAAGGAUCA